AACGAACGCUGGCGGCGUGGAUAAGACAUGCAAGUCGAACGAGACUUUCGUUGUAGCAAUACGAUGGAAAGUUUAGUGGCGAACGGGUGCUUAACACGUGGGCAACCUGCCGUGAAGUGGGGGAUAGCUCGCCGAAAGGCGAAUUAAUACCGCAUGUGAUUAGAGAGGACAUCUUUUCGAAAUUAAAGUCGGGGCAACCUGACGCUUCUUGUGGGGCCCGCGGCCUAUCAGCUAGUUGGUGAGGUAACGGCUCACCAAGGCUUUGACGGGUAGCUGGUCUGAGAGGACGACCAGCCACACUGGGACUGAGACACGGCCCAGACACCUACGGGUGGCAGCAGUCGAGAAUUUUUGACAAUGGGGGAAACCCUGAUCGAGCGACGCCGCGUGGAGGAUGAAGGUCUUCGGAUUGUAAACUCCUGUCAUUGGGGAACAAGGUGCACAUGUUAACUGCGUGUGCAUUGAUAGUACCCGAAGAGGAAGAGACGGCUAACUCUGUGC
rnacentral:rRNA from 1 species